UAUUCACUCUCCACUGGACCUACGUCCCACAGCUGCAGCAGCAUCUUCAGGCAUUCAAGGAAGCCUGGACUCACCAUAGUUUGAGGACAGAGAGAGGGCAAUCCCCCAUGCAACUGUGGCUUAGUCAGCCAUGUGAGGGAAAUGCUGCUGAUCCAGUUGAGGUUGCUGCUGAUUAUGGGAUAGACUGGACAGGACCUCACACCCCAUACCCAGAAGGCGUCACUGCACCUGAUGCACAACUACCCCGGCAGCUUACACAGGCUGAAGUUACAUCAUUGCCUGAUCCGGCCGUCCCUUUUUCUGCUGCACUACGGGCAUACAUGGAUACAGUGUAUAUUCUUAUGGACAUUUUUCAACAAACCUAGACAUAUCACAACUCACCUUAACAUAAUCAGAAUGAAACGGACAAGUCUCAAAAGAAUGCUGCAAAUUUUUGUUGCAUAAUUUUAUGACCAGUUGUGAAUUUCAAAUAAAUGCCUUUGAAAACAACAAUGUACAAAGACACAGCAAAGGGAUAUAAAACUGCUUUUAUUGCAUGCUGAAUAGUUUGACAGCUUUUAAAAGCAUUAGAACAAUGUGCCAAUAAAAAGAUUUUUU